AAUUAUGGACAAUGGGUGAAAGCCUGAUCCAGCCAUGCAGCGUGUGUGAAGAAGGUCUUAGGAUUGUAAAGCACUUUAAGUUGGGAGGCAGGGCCGUACGUAAAUACCUUGCUGUUUUCACGUUACCGAUAGAAUAAGUACACGAUAACUCCAUGUCAGCAGCCGCGGUAAUACGAAGGGUGCAAGCGUUAAUCGGAAUUACUGGGCGUAAAGCGCGCGUAGGUGGUUCGUUAAGUUGGAUGUGAAAGCCCCGGGCUCAACCUGGGAACUGCAUCCAAAACUGGCGAGCUAGAGUACGGUAGAGGGUGGUGGAAUUUCCUGUGUAGCGGUGAAAUGCGUAGAUAUAGGAAGGAACACCAGUGGCGAAGGCGACCACCUGGACUGAUACUGACACUGAGGUGCGAAAGCGUGGGGAGCAAACAGG
rnacentral:rRNA from 1 species